GUGUCCUGAUUUUGGAUAUUUUGCAUUUCUGCAGGUUACUUUUUAGAUCACUAAUCAAAAUUAAAUAAUGCCUACUCUUAGUUAAAAUGAUAAUUUUUCAUAGGCUGCAAAGAGAAUGGCAAUCUUAAAAAUAAAUGCUUUUGUUCUAAAUGAAUUCUUUCUGAAAUAAUUUGCUUAUGUGAGUAAUUUGUAGAGAUAGUUAUGAUAGAAGGGUUAUGACUAGAAGUAAUGGGAUGAAAUGAAGUAGCAAAAAAUUUGGGAUGAAAUUAGAAAAGUAAGAAAAAAUUAACAAAAAAAAAAGAAAAAUAAGGUUUUAAGCUUUUAGACUGUGUGAAAGUCUUCUUGGAGAAUAGGAAAAAGUCCUGGCUAUUCAAAAUAUUAGUUAAGCCUCAACAUGAUGAUGAGGGUGUUCAUUCAGCAGGAAACAUCCCAGUGCUUUGUAAACACCAAGAUUAUUCUCAAGCAUGCUUCUAAUGUUAUCCCAUAAAUCCAGAGCAGGUACAAUAUUGGUGUCUGUGAGUAAACACUGAAUUUUAAUUCCAUCCCAAGUGAUUAUUCCCCAGAGUAAUUUUCUUUAGAGGGAUAAACUAUCUGACCCUAUCUACUUGGAGGCAAGGGAAUGUUUGUCUUGAGGAGUUAUGAUCUGAUCUAUUCUGGAGCUGCAGAACUGAAGGUGGGAAACAAGCUCUCUGGGUGAAUCUGGUUAAGGUUCUCUUGAUGACAGUCCUUAAGUCACAAAAACAUACCACCAGGCCAGGCACGGUGGCUCACGCCUGUAAUCCCAGUGCUUUGGGAGGCUGAGGCGGGCAGAUCACGAGGUCAGGAGAUCAAGACCAUCCUGGCUAACACGGUGAAACCCCGUCUGUACUAAAAAUUCAAAAAUUAGCUGGGUGUGGUGGCGGGCCCCUGUAGUCCCAGCUACUCGGGAGGCUGAGGCAGGAGAAUGGCGUGAACCCGGGAGGCAGACCUUGCAGUGAGCCGAGAUCGCGCCACUGCACUCCAGCCUGGAUAGAGCGGGACUCCGUCACAAAAACAAAACAAAACAAACAAACAAAAAGCUACUACCAACCCAGAUACCAGUGUGGGUCUCAUUCGGUUUAUCUAGGCAUUUUUCUUAGCACAGUUUUUGUAAGUUCUCCAGGUGGUUCUAAAGCAUAGCCAAGACUGAGGACCACCACCAGAACUGCUGAGACUUAUUUACAAACCAUCUCUUACCUGCAGUACAAACCUGCCUCUGCUCUCCUGAUUCUUGUGAGCCUUUGAUUACCGUCUGUGCAGUUUUCCCUGUAUUCAAGAAAGAUGGGCUAUAAUGCCAAAGUUCUUAAGCCUUUUAGUUCCUUGUGGCUUGGAGAAUCUAACAAAAGCAAUAGACCCUCUUCCAGGAAAAUGCACCUUAUCUUGGAUAUAAUUUAAGCAUCACUUAGAAUCCCUGAAUCCCAUCUCUAAAAGCACAGAUUAAAGUCUCUAUCUUAUCUAGAUAAUGUCAGAAACCAGAUGCUCCUAUUCUUCUUUAACUUGAGUUGUUGCUUCUAAAACCUGUGCCUGAGCACAGGUGAUAUGGUUUGGCUCUGUUUCCCCACUCAAAUCUCAUCUUGAAUUGUAAUCCUUGUAAUCCCCAUGUGUUGAGGGAGGGAAGUGAUUGGAUUAUGGGACGGUUUCCCCCAUGCUGUUCUCAUAAUAGUGAGUUAAUUCUCACGAGAUCUGAUGGUUUUACAAGCGUCUGACAUUUCCUCUGCAUGUUCUUCUUCUUCUGCUGCCUUAUGAAAAAGGACGUGUUUGCUUCCCCUUCCAUGAUGAUUGUAAGUUUCCUGAGACCUCCAUAGCCAUGCAGAACGGUGUUGAUUUCUUAUAAACACCCUGCUCCCAAACAUGAUCUCAGCAUCCGCAGAAGCCAAACUGUGACACCCACACUGGAGGACAGUCCCAGGACCUGGCUGAUUGUGAGGAUGCACACCUGACAUCAUCCAAGCUAGACCAGAGACUCUCCCCUGCAGAUUGAGAAUGGUGCUGGAGAGGGCUGGUUCAACUCUGCAAUGAGGCCAGACUUAGGAUGAAUUUCCAAAAAGUGUUUUUCAAGUGCAAGGAGAAAAAUCUCCAAAAGAAGAUCUGAGCUGUAAGAAAAAAUGGCAUAUAAAC
rnacentral:lncRNA from 10 species